GAUGAACGCUAGCGGCAGGCCUAAUACAUGCAAGUCGAGGGAGAAUGUUGGAUUCGUCUGACAUGAAACCGGCGCACGGGUGCGUAACACGUAUGCAACCUACCUUUAACUGGGGUAUAGCUCAGAGAAAUCUGAAUUAAUCCCCCAUAAGACUACGACAUGGCAUCAUGAUGUAGUUAAAGCUCCGGCGGUUAAGGAUGGGCAUGCGGUACAUUAGCUAGUUGGUGAGGUAAUGGCUCACCAAGGCUACGAUGUAUAGGGGGUCUGAGAGGAUGAUCCCCCACACUGGUACUGAGACACGGACCAGACUCCUACGGGAGGCAGCAGUAGGGAAUAUUGGUCAAUGGACGCAAGUCUGAACCAGCCAUGCCGCGUGAAGGAUGAAGGCCCUAUAGGUCGUAAACUUCUUUUAUUAGGGAAGAAAAAACGGGAUGCGUCCUGUACUGACGGUACUUAAUGAAUAAGGAUCGGCUAACUUCGUGCCAGCAGCCGCAGUAA
rnacentral:rRNA from 1 species